rnacentral:rRNA from 1 species
UAGGGAAUCUUCCGCAAUGGGCGAAAGCCUGACGGAGCAACGCCGCGUGAGUGAUGAAGGUCUUCGGAUCGUAAAACUCUGUUAUUAGGGAAGAACAAAUGUGUAAGUAACUAUGCACGUCUUGACGGUACCUAAUCAGAAAGCCACGGCUAACUACGUGCCAGCAGCCGCGGUAAUACGUAGGUGGCAAGCGUUAUCCGGAAUUAUUGGGCGUAAACCGCGCGUCGGCGGUUUUUUAAGUCUGAUGUGAAAGCCCCCGGCUCAACCGUGGAGGGUCAUUGGAAACUGGAGAACUGGAGUGCAGAAGAAGAAGGUCGAAUUCCAUGUGUAGCGGUGAAAUGCGCAGAGUAAUGUAGGAAGAACAGUGGCGGAGGCGACUUUCUGGUCUGUAACUGACGCUGAUGCGCGAAGGCAUGGGGAUCAAACAGG